GGGCCUAUAGUAAAAUGGUAUUACGUUUCCAUGGCAUGGAAAAGGUAGGAGUUCGAUUCUCCUUAGGUCCA
rnacentral:tRNA from 1 species